CAUGGCCACGUUUUCACAUUCAUGAAUGAGCGGAUGUUGUACUGGAUGGCGUAAAUUGAUUCUCUGGUUGACAGAAAGGAUGGAGUGGCAUGAUAGCGGACUAGAUGCAAGGACUGACAGUCAUGCUAAGCUCAUGAGGCAUUUUAUAUACUUCAAGAAUAAAUGGAUACAGGUGGUUGACAGAAAGCUUUGCCCAGAUGUCUACUAUUCCUCACCUCCUCUCCAUCAUCUUGGUGAACUCUCUCCUCAUGAGGAA